CGGCAAACAUUCUUUAGCCGACUUCUGGUUUGGUCU
rnacentral:sRNA from 1 species